rnacentral:rRNA from 1 species
CAGUAGCCGCGGUAAUACGUGGGUCCCGAGCGUUGUCCGGAUUUAUUGGGCGUAAAGGGAGCGCAGGCGGGCGAGUAAGUCUUUCUUAAAAGCGCGGGGCUCAACCCCGUGAGGGGAGAGAAACUACUCAUCUUGAGUGCAGGAGAGGAAAGCGGAAUUCCUAGUGUAGCGGUGAAAUGUGUAGAUAUUAGGAAGAACACCAGUGGCGAAGGCGGCUUUCUGGACUGUAACUGACGCUGAGGCUCGAAGGCGUGGGGAGCAAACAGGAUUAGAUACCCCCGUAGUCCCUGUCUCUUAUACC